AAAACAAGAUGAAGAAUUUACACUCUGUAUAUAGUACAUACAUGUGUUACCUUUUAGUACUACCAUCCUGGACUGUUCGUAUAUUUUGUAAAAUCCUUAGGUUAAACGCGAAAUAAGAAGAAUCCUUUCCCAAAUGUCUUCACCGAUGAACUUUAAAAAUGUGUCUACGUUCCGCAGAAGCAGACUGAUUUGUUGGAUUUGAGCUGCUUUUAAUUCUUAUUGAUUCAAAUUAAACGCGUCUGAAAAUGCGUUCAAAAGAGCAACCAAAUUUGUAUGCGAACUAAGAAAAUUGUGGUACACAAAAUAUUGUGGCUUAUAAGAGGAAAUAAGGUGUUCAUACGGACAGACGGACAGACGGACAUGGCUACAUCAUCUCGGCUGUCGACGCUGAUCACGAAUAUAUAUAUUUUAAAGGAUCGGAGAUGCCUCCUUCUACCUGUUACAUACAUUUCCUGCCGGCACAAAGCUAUAAUACCUUUGCCCUAUGGCGUACGUGCUUCGAUCGCCGGCUGGCUAAGGCGUUUCGUUUCGAUGGGCGGGGUUUUAUUGUAUGCAUGUUUUAGGCCCUCACUUUAACCGAAAGAAAAAGAUGGUUUGUUACAAAAGUUACGGGCCUACAAUGUAAUACAAAAUGACGUCACUGACAAUAUGAAUGGCUGCAGCUUGCGUGGAUAAUUCGCUACCAUUUAAAUUGAUAAGCAAUUGGCACAUUUGUAAAUAUUGUGAAACCAAAAGAAAUUUAAAAAAUAUCAUUCUAUGAACUUCAA